CUUUGUUUCCACGGCUUUGGAACUGGUGCGUUCCACAGCCAUCGGGCUGGGUUGUGGCGUGAGGAGCCCGGCGGAUCCCCACCCCAAGAGUCAUACUGUGGCAGAAAGGGCCACUGGGUUUAUGGCCAAAAAACUUUUGGUUUCCAGCAAGCUGGAUAACUCUAGGCCAAAAGGAACUCUGGAACCAUAGUGAAGGGGCACGUUGAUGUUCAGAAGGUUGUUGAUGCAUCUCCAUUGAGGGCAGCAGUUGAUUGCAGAGAUUCCUCAGUUCCAAGGACAUGGGUAAGUUUUAGCUAA
rnacentral:lncRNA from 1 species